UACGUAGGGGGCAAGCGUUGCCCGGAAUCAUUGGGCGUAAAGAGCGCGUAGGCGGCCCUGUAAGUCCGCUGUGAAAGUCAAGGGCUCAACCCUUGGAUGCCGGUGGAUACUGCAGGGCUAGAGUCCGGAAGAGGCGAGUGGAAUUCCUGGUGUAGCGGUGAAAUGCGCAGAUAUCAGGAGGAACACCGAUGGCGAAGGCAGCUCGCUGGGACGGUACUGACGCUGAGGCGCGAAAGCGUGGGGAGCAAACAGG
rnacentral:rRNA from 1 species